rnacentral:rRNA from 1 species
AGAGUUUGAUCCUGGCUCAGGAUGAACGCUGGCGGCGUGCCUAAUACAUGCAAGUCGAGCGAACAGAUAAGGAGCUUGCUCCUUUGAAGUUAGCGGCGGACGGGUGAGUAACACGUGGGUAACCUACCUAUAAGACUGGGAUAACUUCGGGAAACCGGAGCUAAUACCGGAUAACAUUUAGAACCGCAUGGUUCUAAAGUGAAAGAUGGUUUUGCUAUCACUUAUAGAUGGACCCGCGCCGUAUUAGCUAGUUGGUAAGGUAACGGCUUACCAAGGCGACGAUACGUAGCCGACCUGAGAGGGUGAUCGGCCACACUGGAACUGAGACACGGUCCAGACUCCUACGGGAGGCAGCAGUAGGGAAUCUUCCGCAAUGGGCGAAAGCCUGACGGAGCAACGCCGCGUGAGUGAUGAAGGGUUUCGGCUCGUAAAACUCUGUUAUUAGGGAAGAACAAAUGUGUAAGUAACUGUGCACUCCUUGACGGUACCUANNCAGAAAGCCACGGNCUAANNACG